rnacentral:rRNA from 1 species
GACAGAGGAUGCAAGCGUUAUUCGGAUUCACUGGGCGUAAAGGGUGCGCAGGCGGCCAAGUGUGUGAGGUGUGAAAGCCCGGGGCUUAACCCCGGAAUUGCACCUCAAACUACUUGGCUAGAGCAUUGGAGAGGGUAGCAGAAUUCACGGUGUAGCAGUGAAAUGCGUAGAUAUCGAUGAGGAAUACCAGAGGCGAAGGCGGCUACCUGGACAAUUGCUGACGCUCAGGCACGAAGCGUGGGGAGCAAACAGG